CUGCUGACAUUUGUCGUCUGUCAAGUCAAUGGAGGAUUGUUUAUUUGUUCUGUGGUAUUAUCAUUUCAGAUGAUUUCUAUCAGGACCUGUCUCAUUCUGCUGUGCCGUUCACUAUCGGUUUCAUUGUUACUUCAACAAUCACUCUUUUAUUCGGCUUUGCUGCUUUCAAAUGGAAACAAAACAAAGGUAGCAACAGGAGAGAUCCCACUGGGACAGAUGAAGUGGAUCAAGUGAUGGAUCUGGACAAAAGAGUAACUGAGAAUGAGACCAAACAUCCUGACGGUGAAACAGCUGAAGACAAGCAGGAUGAGAAGCAAAAGAAUGAGGAAGCUGUGAAAGAAGUGAGGCAGGAGCCAGCAACUAAUCAGAUUGAAGACAAAAACAAUGAAGUCCAACAGCUCCAAGAUCAGAAUCACAGGAAAGAGAUUUACCAACAGCCUAUGAAGGACAACGUGGAAACGAAGAAUCAGAGCGUGCCAAUGGAUGUUGUUCAAGUGAUGCAGAAGUCUCUCCCACAACUUAAGUUUGUUGUUGCCUUUCGCUGGAUGCAGAAGUUGGAGGACAGACUGGAUAAAAUUAAGCAUCCCCAGGCUAAAAUUCAGGACCUGGAGAAUCUGACGAAGCAACUAGAGAGUGACAAUGAACAGUACAAAAGUAAGAUCAAGUCUCUCAGAGACAAGAACGAGCAAUUGGAGCGCCAGCUGACUGGACUGAGAGACAAGAGUGAGCAGGAGAUCAGUACUAAAGUAGCUGAAGUGGAGCUGCAGCUUCAGGAUGACCAGAAGAGGAGGGAGGAAGCUGAGAAGAUAAUGCAGACCCUGAAAGAGGAACUGGAGACCAAGAACAAGGAGCUCACUGACUUAUUAGAUGAAGUCCAGCAGCUCCGUGAAGAGAAUCAGCAGAAGGAAAAUCACCUAGUCACCCUCAACAAGCAUCUGGUGAAAAAGAACAUAAAGCAGGAUGACAGGAACUGGGGCCUAACUGUUGAAGAUCUGAAGAAGACCCAAAACAAACUGGAGGAGGAGAUGGCAGCGAACAGGAAGCUGCAGAAAGAGAUUGACGACAAAGGAGCUAAAGUAACAGAGGAAAAGCAGAAGAGGGAGGAAGCUGAGAAAGAGCUGAAGACGCUGAAGAAGGAUCUGCAGAAGAAGAACGAGGAGCUACAAGAGUCAAAGCUUCUCUUUGAGAACCUCAAGGCAAAUAAGGAGGAGUGUGAGAGACAACUGACUGAACUGAGAGAGCAGUUUAAGAAGGAGAACUCCUCUCCUGUCUCCAAGUUGGAGAGGAUGCUGCACGAGGAGCAGCAGAGGAGAGAGGAGGUGGAUGAGGAAGUGGAGACUCUGAAGAAAGAGUUGGAGAACAACGUAAACAAGUUUCAACCACAACAUGAAGAAUCUCUGAAAGGUUCAGGCGUCUCUGCAGCAGAACAUCUGACGUCACCAAAGGAAGAUUGAAUACAGACGACAGCUGAAGUAAAAGAUGCUAAAAGCUGUGAAACCAAACAAUGGAGAAUUUAAUGUUGUGUGAUUUUUUGUUGUACAGUAUCAAAGAAUAAGUGAUGUUUAGGAAGAAGAUGUGAAGGAAAAUGUCAGAUAUAUAUUUUUUUAGGUUGAAGACAGUAUGAAGAAGCUUAGCUUUAACUUGAAAUAGUAACAUAUAUAUAUAGUAUAAUGUUAAUGUGCUUUUUUACUUUUUUAAAUCUAUGAAUCCACUUUAAUCAACACAUCAUGAAGAUCAUUUUAAAACAUAUUACUGCUGUAGAUGUUUAACAUGAAGGUCCGCACUCGGAUAUUUGUGACCAUUUGUCACCUGAGACAGAAAUGUUGUUUUAUCGAUAUUGUGUUAUUGUGGUGUUGCUGUUGCCCUCUGUAGGCAAAAAAAAAGUAACGUCUUGUACAUUGUGUCGUUCAGUGACUUCCUAUCGUUGAUUUAACAGGAAGAACCGUUGCCAUGAACAUGAUUGAUUAAUAAAGGUUUGC
rnacentral:lncRNA from 1 species